rnacentral:tRNA from 1 species
GGCCCUUUAGCUCAGUGGUUAGAGCUGGCGACUCAUAAUCCACGGUCACCGGUUCAAGUCCGGUAGGGGCCACCA